UAGGGAAUCUUCCACAAUGGACGAAAGUCUGAUGGAGCAACGCCGCGUGAGUGAAGAAGGUUUUCGGAUCGUAAAGCUCUGUUGUUGGUGAAGAAGGAUAGAGGCAGUAACUGGUCUUUAUUUUGACGGUAAUCAACCAGAAAGUCACGGCUAACUACGUGCCAC
rnacentral:rRNA from 1 species